GUAUAGUGGUGAGUACGCCAGUCUGUCACAUUGGCGACCCGGGUUCAAUUCCCGG
rnacentral:tRNA from 1 species